AAAAUGGCAGAACGAAGACUUAUGAGCAGGGCUGGAAAGUAGGAAAGACAUGAACCAACACUCAAAACAAGAAAGAAGGACAUAUAAAGCAAAAGAGUAAUGCUCCUGAAAAAAUAGACUCACGGACUAACAUCUCCACGGUGUGACAUUUUCUU
rnacentral:lncRNA from 1 species